CCCUGUUAUAAACUGUGAUGACUGUUUCCUCCAUAAGAAAUAAAUAAUCCAGAUACCUGGGCUAACAUGUCAGAGUUAGUUCUAUAUUUUGGAUCAAGAUCAGUACUUGGGUCACUUAGCAUGGCCAGAGCAAGCAUUGUCAGAACUGGGCCAUGGAUACUGGCUGUCUGUGUGAUACUGAGUCUGCAGGGGACAGGUGAGCAAUUAGGAAAUGGCAUCUGUCUGUCUGUCUCUCUCUCUCUGUCUCUCUGUCUGUCUGCCUCUCUCUCUCUGUCUGAUCUAUCUGUCUGUCUGUCUCUGUGUAUUUCUUUCUAUAUGUCUGUCUCUGUCUAUCGCUGUGUGUUUCUUUCUAUCUGUCUGUCUUUCUAUCUUUCUGUCUGUCUUUCUGUCUCUGUCUGUC